GAGGGUAUAGCUCAACUGGUAGAGCGCAUGCCUAGCAUGCACAAGGUCCUGGGUUCAAUCCCCAGCACCUCCA
rnacentral:tRNA from 1 species